AUCUGGCCAAUUAGGAGGCAUAUAUUUUGAUUAGAGGCCUUUUUGAGGGGACCUUUGAUCCAUCUUCUGUUCCCCAAGCAGCCUCUUGCAUCU
rfam:Amborella trichopoda AMTR_V1.0_contig_2206, whole genome shotgun sequence.